AUGUUCUCUCUUCUUCAAUACGCUGGUUCUUCUCAUUCUUCGCCGCCGAUUCAUCAUCUAAAACUGAUCCAUCAUCCAAACCCGAUUGGCUACGCUUAAGCUUAAACCUGGUGGAUUUUUUGUUUUGAAAGACAACCUUGCAAGAUCUGGUACUGGGACAGUGCACAUAAGACAGUUUGUACGAUUUUGAUGAAUGUUUGAAGUGGAAUAAAAUAAAAGUGGGAGCAAUCUGCUCAUCAAUCCAGGGUUGAUUUGAAAUUCUUUAUAUGUUGGGUGAAUUUAUGUCAAAUAACAAUGAUGGAGCAAAAAGUACGUCUGGUGGGAUGAGCUUGACUUUGCUAAUUCAACAGACGAUCAAGUUCAACCACCAACACCUAAUGAAUAUGAUCAUCAACGAGAGCCAUAUGUAUUCAGAUGUUUGUCAUGCUUC
rnacentral:lncRNA from 1 species